rnacentral:rRNA from 1 species
ACGUUAGCUGCAGAAGAAGCACCGGCUAACUCCGUGCCAGCAGCCGCGGUAAUACGGAGGGUGCGAGCGUUAAUCGGAAUUACUGGGCGUAAAGCGCAUGCAGGUGGUUUGUUAAGUCAGAUGUGAAAGCCCGGGGCUCAACCUCGGAAUUGCAUUUGAAACUGGCAAACUAGAGUACUGUAGAGGGGGUAGAAUUUCAGGUGUAGCGGUGAAAUGCGUAGAGAUCUGAAGGAAUACCGGUGGCGAAGGCGGCCCCCUGGACAGAUACUGACACUCAGAUGCGAAAGCGUGGGGAGCAAACAGGAUUAGAUACCCUGGUAG